rnacentral:lncRNA from 1 species
AUAGCAAAAUAAGUCUUUUGCACUUAAUUAGUCUCAUUUUUUUUUACCACCUUCAUUGCAGGAGCCCAUAAAUUCACACAUGUGUGGUAUGUCUUUUCAGGGACAGAGUCAAUUCAGCUGAGAAGUGUCCCAUCACUGAGGCUUUCUGCUGGGCACGGUCAGGCUUAGUACCUUGAAGUCCACACAGAGGACUGCUCUAUUUAUGCAGCAGCCGAUGAGAAUGCAACCAGCAGUCCAUGUUAACAGAGGGUCAUGCAAAAGGAAAACACGG